UCCCUCUCAGGACGGCACCUGGAGAGCUUCCAGUACUCUACUAGUCUCAGCUUUGAGAGGAGAGUCAAGCAGAGGAAUGGAACCCAUUCCAUUCCUAGCUUGGGCAGUGGCUAGUGAGUGGAAGGCAAUCUGCUACAAGU